AUUGAACGCUGGCGGCAUGCCUAACACAUGCAAGUCGAACGGUAACAGGCCCUUCGGGGUGCUGACGAGUGGCGGAUGGGUGAGUAAUACUUAGGAAUCUACCCUGUAGUGGGGGACAACCCGGGGAAACUCGGGCUAAUACCGCAUACGCUCUACGGAGGAAAGCGGGGGACCGCAAGGCCUCGCGCUAUUGGAUGGGCCUAAGCCCGAUUAGCUAGUUGGUGGGGUAAUAGCCUACCAAGGCAAUGAUCGGUGGCUGGUCUGAGAGGACGACCAGCCACACUGGGACUGAGACACGGCCCAGACUCCUACGGGAGGCAGCAGUGGGGAAUAUUGGACAAUGGGCGAAAGCCUGAUCCAGCGAUGCCGCGUGUGUGAAGAAGG
rnacentral:rRNA from 1 species